rnacentral:rRNA from 1 species
GACGAACGCUGGCGGCGUGCCUAAUACAUGCAAGUAGAACGCACAGUUUAUACCGUAGCUUGCUCCACCAUAGACUGUGAGUUGCGAACGGGUGAGUAACGCGUAGGUAACCUGCCUGGUAGCGGGGGAUAACUAUUGGAAACGAUAGCUAAUACCGCAUAAUAUUAAUUAUUGCAUGAUAAUUAAUUGAAAGGUGCAAUUGCACCACUACCAGAUGGACCUGCGUUGUAUUAGCUAGUAGGUGAGGUAACGGCUCACCUAGGCGACGAUACAUAGCCGACCUGAGAGGGUGAUCGGCCACACUGGGACUGAGACACGGCCCAGACUCCUACGGGAGGCAGCAGUAGGGAAUCUUCGGCAAUGGACGAAAGUCUGACCGAGCAACGCCGCGUGAGUGAAGAAGGGUUUCGGAUCGUAAAGCUCUGUUGUAAGAGAAGAACGGGUGUGAGAGUGGAAAGUUCACACUGUGACGGUAUCUUACCAGAAAGGGACGGCUAACUACGUG